AUUGGAGGGCUUGACACCCUGGAUAUUAAUAUGAAGCUAGAGGCCUAUUAAGAAUCUGAAACACUCUGAAGAGGCAUUAGAAACUGUUGAUGAGAGAAGUUCCCAUCAAAGUCCAUUAGCAUAAGUGAGUGGUCAGAGUAGCUGGGUCUGACAUAUUUCAUAUUUUGCUGCAAAAGCACUUGUGUGAGGAGCAAGCAUUCUGAGAACAAGGCAGGCAUUCACUUCAGUAGAUAAAAGGAAGAGGGGAGGAAGGAAAAGACCUGAAGCAUGGCUGC
rnacentral:lncRNA from 1 species